AGUGAGAUAGCGGGGUCAAAUGGUGGUUCUAUUCCCAAGUUUUCCAAGCAAUCGCCAUACUGCUUUUCAAAUUGGCUGCACCAAUUUGCAGUCCCACCAGCAAU
rnacentral:pre_miRNA from 1 species